rnacentral:rRNA from 3 species
UGAGGAAUUUUGCGCAAUGGCCGCAAGGCUGACGCAGCAACGCCGCGUGGGUGAUGAAGGCCUUCGGGUCGUAAAGCCCUGUCAGGUGGGAAGAAAGGCCUGGAGAGGAAAGGUUUCAGGUUUGACGGUACCACCAGAGGAAGCACCGGCUAACUCCGUGCCAGCAGCCGCGGUAAUACGGAGGGUGCGAGCGUUAUUCGGAAUUACUGGGCGUAAAGCGCGUGUAGGCGGGGGGACAAGUCUGAUGUGAAAGCCCUGGGCUUAACCUGGGAAGCGCAUUGGAAACUGUUUUUCUUGAGUACUGGAGAGGAAGGGGGAAUUCCCGGUGUAGAGGUGAAAUUCGUAGAGAUCGGGAGGAAUACCAGUGGCGUAGGCGCCCUUCUGGACGGUAACUGACGCUGAGACGCGAAAGCGUGGGGAGCAAACAGG